rnacentral:rRNA from 1 species
AUUGAACGCUGGCGGCAGGCCUAACACAUGCAAGUCGGGCGAGAGGCGGACGGGUGAGUAAUGUAUGGGGAUCUGCCUGAUGGAGGGGGAUAACUACUGGGAAAGGUAGCUAAUACCGCAUACCAUCAGAUGAACCCAUAUGGGAUUCGCUUGUAGGUGAGGUAACGGCUCACCUCGGAGACGAUCCCUAGCUGGUCUGAGAGGAUGAUCAGCAACACUGGGACUGAGACACGGCCCAGACUCCUACGGGAGGAAGAAGUGGGGAAUAUUGCAAAAUGGGCGCAAGCCUGAUGCAGCCAGGCCGCGUGUAUGAAGAAGGCCUUCGGGUUGUAAAGUACUUUCAGUCGGGAGGCGGUACCGACAGAAGAAGCACCGGCUAACUCCGUGCCAGCCGCCGCGGUAAUUC